UACGGAGGGUGCAAGCGUUAUCCGGAUUUACUGGGCGUAAAGAGCGCGUAGGCGGGUCUUUAAGUGAGGGGUGAAAGGUUCGGGCUCAACCCGAACACUGCCUUUCAUACUGGGGACCUUGAGUGCGGGAGAGGCGAGUGGAAUGGUCGGUGUAGCGGUGAAAUGCGUAGAUAUCGAUCGGAACACCCAUGGCGAAGGCAGCUCGCUGGCCCGUGACUGACGCUGAGGCGCGAAAGCGUGGGGAGCAAACAGG
rnacentral:rRNA from 1 species